CCUACGGGAGGCAGCAGUGGGGAAUCUUCCGCAAUGGACGAAAGUCUGACGGAGCAACGCCGCGUGAGUGAUGAAGGAUUUCGGUCUGUAAAGCUCUGUUGUUUAUGACGAACGUGCAGUGUGUGAACAAUGCAUUGCAAUGACGGUAGUAAACGAGGAAGCCACGGCUAACUACGUGCCAGCAGCCGCGGUAAUACGUAUGUCGCAAGCGUUAUCCGGAUUUAUUGGGCGUAAAGCGCGUCUAGGCGGCUUAGUAAGUCUGAUGUGAAAAUGCGGGGCUCAACCCCGUAUGGCGCUGGAAACUGUUAGGCUUGAGUGCAGGAGAGGAAAGGGGAAUUCCCAGUGUAGCGGUGAAAUGCGUAGAUAUUGGGAGGAACACCAGUGGCGAAGGCGCCUUUCUGGACUGUGUCUGACGCUGAGAUGC
rnacentral:rRNA from 1 species